UAGGGAAUCUUCGGCAAUGGGGGCAACCCUGACCGAGCAACGCCGCGUGAGUGAAGAAGGUUUUCGGAUCGUAAAGCUCUGUUGUAAGUCAAGAACGAGUGUGAGAGUGGAAAGUUCACACUGUGACGGUAGCUUACCAGAAAGGGACGGCUAACUACGUGCCAGCAGCCGCGGUAAUACGUAGGUCCCGAGCGUUGUCCGGAUUUAUUGGGCGUAAAGCGAGCGCAGGCGGUUUGAUAAGUCUGAAGUUAAAGGCUGUGGCUCAACCAUAGUUCGCUUUGGAAACUGUCAAACUUGAGUGCAAGAGGGGAGAGUGGAAUUCCAUGUGUAGCGGUGAAAUGCGUAGAUAUAUGGAGGAACACCGGUGGCGAAAGCGGCUCUCUGGCUUGUAACUGACGCUGAGGCUCGAAAGCGUGGGGAGCAAACAGGAUUAGAUACCCUGGUAGUCCACGCCGUAACGAUGAGUGCUAGGUGUUAGACCCUUUCCGGGGUUUAGUGCCGUAGCUAACGCAUUAAGCACUCCGCCUGGGGAGUACGACCGCAAGGUUG
rnacentral:rRNA from 1 species